GACUCUCGGCAACAGAUAUCUCAGCCCUUGCAUCAUCAAUGAAGACCGUAGCAAAAUGUGAUACUUAUGUGAAUUGCAAAAUUCCGUGAGCCAGCGAAAUGCGGAUUUGCUUAGCACUACCAUCUGCAUGAAGUUG
rnacentral:rRNA from 1 species